rnacentral:rRNA from 2 species
GGGCGUUAAGUUGCAGGGUAUAGACCCGAAACCCGGUGAUCUAGCCAUGGGCAGGUUGAAGGUUGGGUAACACUAACUGGAGGACCGAACCGACUAAUGUUGAAAAAUUAGCGGAUGACUUGUGGCUGGGGGUGAAAGGCCAAUCAAACCGGGAGAUAGCUGGUUCUCCCCGAAAGCUAUUUAGGUAGCGCCUCGUGAAUUCAUCUCCGGGGGUAGAGCACUGUUUCGGCAAGGGGGUCAUCCCGACUUACCAACCCGAUGCAAACUGCGAAUACCGGAGAAUGUUAUCACGGGAGACACACGGCGGGUGCUAACGUCCGUCGUGAAGAGGGAAACAACCCAGACCGCCAGCUAAGGUCCCAAAGUCAUGGUUAAGUGGGAAACGAUGUGGGAAGGCCCAGACAGCCAGGAUGUUGGCUUAGAAGCAGCCAUCAUUUAAAGAAAGCGUAAUAGCUCACUGGUCGAGUCGGCCUGCGCGGAAGAUGUAACGGGGCUAAACCAUGCACCGAAGCUGCGGCAGCGA